ACAGAAAUGAGGUCGGCUUCUCCAGAGUGCACGAGCUAGGGAAGGGAGCGCCUUGAAAGCCAGGCUGCAGAAUUUGGCCAUCCUCAAACACCACCUUUAAUGGCAAAGGAGGGAUGGGAAAACUCCUGAAGACCAGGUAGCCAUGGAGUGCUACAUUUCUGGAUGGAAAGGGGACCACACAGGAUUCACAACUGGGCUCCUCUUGCUGUGUUGGAGGGAGAUGUUUCACCUGAGCACCAUGUUUCACAUGGCAGUGGGGCAAGGCACUGAGGCUGUGUGGCAUGGCACCACAGGGUGGCCACUGGUCCCUGAGUCGGCAGACCUGGCUCUCUUUUCCCUGCCAUGCUGACUUCAUGUUUAUGGCUAAGAAGCCUCUCCCAGGGAGCAGCUGAGCUUCAGGGGCAUUCCUGGAGCGUCCAGGAGAGCAAUAUGGCCCUUUGCUGGUGGAGAACCUGAGACCCUCAAGGAGAAAGUGAAGAAAAUUCUCUCUGCAUACAGACCCCUUCCCAUUUUCCCAUUCUGGGUUGACUAUCCUCCCUCAUAGAUGUGCUCAUGAGUCUUGGAAAUUCUCUUGACUCAUUGCCAUUUAAAAUAUCUGUGUUGCUUCU
rnacentral:lncRNA from 1 species